CUUCUUUAUUGAAUGAAAUUCAUUUUGAAGCAGCAGCAUCUUGGCUUUUCUAACUGAUGGAAAUGCAGAAAUACAUAAUACCUUCCCAGCUUUAGAUUACUCCUUCUUUAUCAUCCAAAAAGGGAAACCAAACCCAGUCAUUUAAAGCUUUUAAAGGGGAAACUAAAUGCUUUACUCUCAAAUCUUCUCUUUUGUGAAAACAAGAAUGAAUAUGCAAAAUGGGGGAUUUCUAAGUUAUCCUGGUCUCAGAUUCUGCACUGGAAAUUAGUUUGGCUCCACUGUGUUGUAACAAUCCCUGCUGAUUUGUCAGAGCUUUUGGAUGUGUCCUUCUGGGAUGUUACUAUCUUUUCUCAAUGUUUUGUACAUACACAUUAUCCUCUUUAUUAAUUUCAUUUGCUGCCUUGUUGAAUUGUGUAAGAAACCUUUUGACUUUCUCACACUUCAGCUGUUACUGCUGUCUUAUCCAUGAAGUGUUUUGCUGAGGAGAGCAGAGCUGUGUGUUUUAGAAAUGGGGGUUAUGAUAGGUCCUUUUCCAUUAUGAUUCUUUUCUUAUGGAUUUUUUUUUUUUAAUUGCAGAGAUUUCCUAUUCUAUGGUACAGCAGGGACUGGAAAGACACUGGUAGCUUGUGCACUUGCUAAUGAAUGUAGCCAGGGUGAUGGGGGAGUAAGCUUUUUUUAUGAGAAAUGGUGUCAAAUGCCUGAGUGAAUAGGUAGGUGUAGUGCUUUUAAAGCACUAGAAAACUUAUUUAUUUCUUGCUGUGAGAUAUGGAUUAGGGGAAGAGCAAAACAGGCUUAAAACUUAAAAGGAAUGAAGAAAGUUAACAAAACUACAAGAAUAAGAAACCAGAAUAAAACCUCCAGAAACCCUUCUUUCCCACCACCCAACCUGAAUAUGAAUGACAGUUUUGUUUAUUACUUGAGCAGGUAAGAUUGAAAUGUGCCACAUGUUCUGUCCGAGUUGUAACUUAUUUUCUGUGGUCAAGAAGAAAUUCUUUUUCAUGUUUUGUCAGGUUCUUCCAUUGAAAUGGGACUGUCAGUGUUUCCUUUUCCAGUGGGGUUUUGGGUGGCUGGAAAUCUUGGGAUGUAUGGAGAAAUAUUAAUAAUAUUUAUUAUUAAUUAAAUAUUUUUAAUGUAAAUAUAAUUUAAAUUAUUAAUUGUAUCAUUGUUUACUAAUUUAUUAUUUAUAUUACUAAUGUUAAUAAUGCAAACAAGAAAAUUUUUCAAAGCACCACCAUCCCCCUCAAAGAACCCCCAAACAAACCAGAUCCAGUACUCUUGUAACCAUAAUGUUAUUCAUGUAUUUUCUCUUUUAAAUAGUGCUGUUUUCCUGAUGUCAGUAUUCCUGAGUUUUCUUUGUAGGCCUACCAGAUGCGACCUUCAAUUAUUUUCCUGGAUGAGAUCAAUGCCCUUGCUCCUGUAGGCACCCAUAAACAAGACUAGGUUCAUAGCUCUGUUGUAGGAACACUUCUGGCACUAAUGGAAGGCUUCGCUGGAGGAAAGGUUGUGGGAAUCAGAGCCAUCAGCAGACUGAAAUCUGUAGAUCCUGCUUUAUGGAUCCUCCUGGACACUUUGUACAAGAAUUCCACUUCAACUUGCCAAACAAAGAGUGAUGGAAAUGGGAUGCUGCCACACACCAAAAUGUUUAAAAAAGAAUGAGUACAUGAAUUAAAUAUAAAGCACAGCUGUAGCAUCUUGAAGGUGAAAGAAAUGGUAUGCACAGAAGAAUUCCUUUUGGAAACCAAAGCUUUGAUCAAGGAACAGAAGAUGAGGUGCCAUGAAACAGAUCUAAUACACAAUUCCCUACUGUGGAAGAAUUCUAAAAAUCUGCCAUAAUUAAUCAGGAAAUAAUUCAAAGAAAGUCUUGCAAAGAUCAGAGAUAAGGCUACACCCUAUGGCUCAUGAAAGAUAUUCUCAGGUGGACCGAGAAUCACAAGUAUGUGAUGAGAAAGCAAAGAAAAUUUACACAUGGGGAGUAUUUUUGGAUUACCCUGAGUUCAGAGAACCAGAAAAGGACUGAUUUUCAGCAAUGAUGACUUUAAACCUGAAGUUCAUCCUGGACAAAAUAGACAAAAUACUUGCUUUUCUCAAAUUCUUUCAAAAUUCAGUGUUAGAAUUGUGCAUACAAAUACUUGCAGUGUUGUAAGGUUACCCAGUUCCCUAUAGGAAAGAAGCUGCCAUCCUAGGCUACAGCUGGGGAAAGGGUCAAGAACGAGCCUAGCUACAGCUUUGCAUGGACUGGAGAAGGUUCAAGGACCCACCCUUCAGAGAACACUGCUACAAGGAAAAUUUGGGAAAUUGCUAGGUUGAAGAGCUAGAAGAUGGUCAAGGCAGAGGAGGCUGCUGUCUACCUGCCAUGAAGAGAAAGGAAGUAUUACAGAAGCACAGAAUCAUUUAGGUCGGAAAAGACCUGAGACCAAGUCAAACCUUUAACCGAUCUCCACCUUACAAACUAAACCAUAGCACUAAGUGCCACAUCCAGUCAUUUCUUGAACACCUCCAGGUAUGGUGAUGCUACCACUUCCCUGGGCAGCCUGUUCCAAUGUUUAACAACCCCUUCCCAAAGAAAUUCCUCAUGAUGUCCAGCCUAAACCUCCCCUGGCAUAGCUUGAGGCUGUGUCCUCUUAUCUUCUUGUCACUAGUUGCCUGGGAGAAGACCUUAUAGGAGAGUGAUUCCUUUUGAGAGGACAGGUCUGCCUCAACUGUCCUGACUCAGCACAUUUGGAAUAAAACAUGACCAAGUGCAGAAAGAGGCUUUUGUAAUGCUUGCUCCAGAUGACAAAAUAAACAGAGCAAAUGUGCAGCUGGCCUGGUAGCAGCAACAGAGCCUAAGCCUUUGCUCUUCAUUUGGCAUAAAGAGCUGCAGUGCCUGCAUAGGAAUUAAACAUUUUCUUUUCACUAGACUUCUUUGCCACGUUCAGAAACACCAGUGAUACGAUACUGCAGCUGAUCUGGAAAGUAGACAGAGCCUGUAAAAAUUUCACAUUAAGAAAACAGUCAGUAUGCUCCCAAUCCAGUACAUACUGAUUCUCCUUGGUUUGUAUCACCUUGAUUAUUCCACCUUUAGUAAUACAGAAAGCAGGAUCCUGAGCUGAACAAAUCUGAAGAGAAAUGUCUUAGUAAUAAAAACUGCAGAUUAACCAAGAUCUGUAUCACAAACCAACUUCGAAAAUGUAAAGCAAAAUCACCAAAUGAAGAACUUAAUGUUGGGUUCCUAAGAUUUCUACCAUGCUGACAGUUUGUGAUAAAAAAAGCCACAAAUCUUGUUCGCAGAAAUUCAUUAUGUAGCAUUUUACACAAAAAUACAGGAUAUUGUUAUACAGCCAAGCAUCUGGGGUGAUUAGCCCUGAUUUAAGCAAAAAAAGAAAUCUCUAGGAAAAGCAGCUAUUAACAAGAAGAAGAAUGAGGGCAGAACAAACUACUGGAUUUGUACAAUUGAAUCAAGCUGAAUGUUAGGAAGCAUUAUUUUACCAUAUAACAAAUCAAAGAGAAAUACUAACCUUGAUCCUAAGAGAUGCUGAGUACAAAGCUACUAGUAAUUUCCCACAAAAAAACCACAGACCAGUAUCUUUAGAGAGAGAGGGAGAAGACUAAAAUUACCUGAAAUGUUCAGGAAUAUGUUUUCACAGGACCAAAGGAAAGGAAUUCAGGGAAGCCACGUAGGAGUGUGUCCUGAGAGACAUGCUGAAUACUGAACAAAAGGGCAGUCGAACACACAGUGCAAUAACAGCUGUGGACAACUACAGAGAUGAGGCCAGGAAGAAGAUACAGCCAAACCAAGAGCAGAGUGAAAACACCAGAGAUGAAAAAUGUAUUUUGUUUUAUCCAUGUUAAUCCAUACAUAGUAAAGUACAGGCUCUCUUACUUGAUUGCAGAGCUAUCCUCCCACUGCCUAUAGUCACUUCAAUGCUCAAUUUCAACACACAGUUAAAUAAUUUCUGCUAAAGCUUUUCCUGACAGUUUUCUUGCAUUCAAAUACACAUGCUCAUUCUUCCAACUU